GAUGAACGCUGGCGGCGUGCCUAAUACAUGCAAGUCGAGCGAACAGAUGAGGAGCUUGCUCCUCUGACGUUAGCGGCGGACGGGUGAGUAACACGUGGAUAACCUACCUAUAAGACUGGGAUAACUUCGGGAAACCGGAGCUAAUACCGGAUAAUAUAUUGAACCGCAUGGUUCAAUAGUGAAAGACGGUUUUGCUGUCACUUAUAGAUGGAUCCGCGCCGCAUUAGCUAGUUGGUAAGGUAACGGCUUACCAAGGCAACGAUGCGUAGCCGACCUGAGAGGGUGAUCGGCCACACGGGAACUGAGACACGGUCCAGACUCCUACGGGAGGCAGCAGUAGGGAAUCUUCCGCAAAGGGCGAAAGCCUGACGGAGCAACGCCGCGUGAGUGAUGAAGGUCUUCGGAUCGUAAAACUCUGUUAUUAGGGAAGAACAAAUGUGUAAGUAACUAUGCACGUCUUGACGGUACCUAAUCAGAAAGCCACGGCUAACUACGUG
rnacentral:rRNA from 1 species